UACGUAGCAGCAAGCGUUGUUCGGAAUUACUGGGCGUAAAGAGUGUGUAGGCGGUGCUACCAAGUCUUGGUGUGAAAUCUCCCGGCUUAACUGGGGAGGUGCAUUAAGAAACUGGAAGUGCUAGGAGGAUGGGAGGAGUAAGCGGGAAAUUCCUGGUGUAGCGGUGAAAUGCGUAGAUAUCAGGAGGAACACCUGUGGUGUGAGACAGCUUACUGGACCAAUUUCUGACGCUGAGACACGAAAGCGUGGGUAGCAAACAGG
rnacentral:rRNA from 1 species